rnacentral:rRNA from 1 species
CAGUCGCCGCGGGAAUACGUAGGGUGCAAGCGUUAAUCGGAAUUACUGGGCGUAAAGCGUGCGCAGGCGGUUCCAUAAGACAGAUGUGAAAUCCCCGGGCUCAACCUGGGAACUGCAUUUGUGACUGUAGAGCUGGAGUGCGGCAGAGGGGGAUGGAAUUCCGCGUGUAGCAGUGAAGUGCGUAGAUAUGCGGAGGAACACCGAUGGCGAAGGCAAUCCCCUGGGCCUGCACUGACGCCCAUGCACGAAAGCGUGGGGAGCAAACAGGAUUAGAUACCCGAGUAGUCCCUGUCUCUUAUAA